ACCCGCUGAAUUUAAGCAUAUUAAUAAGCGGAGGAAAAGAAACUAACCAGGAUUCCCCUAGUAAGGGCGACUGAAGCGGGAAGAGCUCAAGAUGUGAAUCAGCGCUUCGGCGUUGAAUUGUGGUCUGUAGAUGAUAUCACCACCAGCCGGGCCAAGUCUCUUGGAAAAGGGCAGCUUAGAGGGUGAAACUCCCGUGCGCCUGGCAGGAUGAGAUAUUAAUCAACGAGUCGAGUUGUUUGGGAUUGCAGCUCAAAGUGGGUGGUAAAUUCCAUCUAAAGCUAAAUACUGGUGGGAGACCGAUAGCGUACAAGUACCGUGAGGGAAAGAUGCAAAGAACUUUGAAAAGAGAGUUAAAGAGUACCUGAAAUCGCUGAAAGGGAAGCGAAGGAAACCAGUGCAGGUAAAGUCAUAUUUCCCUGGCUGCUUGCAGCUUGGGCGCUGUGGCUUGACUAAAGUCUUGCUGGGUUGGAACUUUUGGAAGAGCUUGAAGGGAGUUGACCUUCUUUGCUGACAUUGGUUUCAACUGAGCCAGACAAAAUGGUUUUCUUUUCCCCGUCUUGAAACACGGACCAAGG
rnacentral:rRNA from 1 species